ACACACACAUACACACACACACACACACCCGCACCCCAACGAUUGGGCAGCGAGGGGAGACACUGACUACCUGAGAAGUCCCCCCGAGGACCAAGAAUUAUCGCACUUUAGGCUUCAAUUGUUCGCGGCCGCCUGGAGCAUUUCAUAGCAGCGUAAGGGGUUUGAACGCCUCCCUAUACUGGAGCGCUCCCAUUGCGGUGUGUUAGGAAAUAAGAAAACAACUACUCCGAAUUCGGCUCCGCAAUGCAUCCCCCAAACAAAAAUUGUCUUACCUCCACAGAAGGUCGAAAGGCAGAGGACUCGGGAAACAGCGCUCUUGGCACAAUGUUCUAAGAAAAUAGACCCUGCACACUAGGUUAUCUUAGUAGACAGUUGCUAACUCAGCCUCAAGAGAUUCUGCAGGACUUCAGAUAUGCCUUCUGCUGUGUAAAAUGUUGACUCCUAAAACGGGGAACAUUUUUAAAGACUAGUAUUUAUGAGAGUAGGGUGUGAUGGUGCACGCCUUUAUUCCCAGGACUCAGGAGGCAGAAGCAGAGGGAUCUCCGGAUCUCCGUGAGUUCAAGGCCAGCUUGGUCUACAAAGUGAGGCCCUGAAAUGUCCUAAAAUGGGGAACAUUUUUAAAGACUAGUAUUUAUGAGAGUAGGGUGUGAUGGUGCACGCCUUUAUUCCCAGGACUCAGGAGGCGGAAGCAGAUGGAUCUCCGGAUCUCUGUACUAAAGUCAGCAACUGCCUGAAUCCACGAAGAGACUGUCUACCCCCAUGGAUAUGCACAUGUGCUUUCUGACGAGGGGAGCAGACCGAGGAAGUCUUCCUAUCCGUUAUAUUUCGCAGACCUCACUCAUUAUACAACCUUGAUUUCUUUGGAUCUUCACCUCACAGAUUUUUUUCUAGACUAUCCUAUAAUACCUUUUAAGGAAAGUCUUUGAGUUUCUCUUCUUAACACUGGAACAGGGAAGUUCAUUUCCCUGGAGAGCCAGGAUUAGCAAAAGCAUUCAGUCCCACAGGACAGGUUUGUUUGCUUAUUUUCACAGAAACUUCCUUCUUGACUGUUUAGAGAACAUAAAGUCCUCACAUUGGCCUGGCCCUGGAAAUAUCAAGACAAGAAUGAAUGAGCAAGCCUGCUUAGUGAGCCAAGAAAAAGGCAGAAACUCGAGGCCUGGAGUUGAACAGAUCCUGCUUUUUAGCAGGAUCUAACCACGAAUUGCCUAUUUUGCCUUACUUCGCCAGAACUCUAUGACUGGUUCCUAAUUUAUGUUAUGUCCCUUUUGUGUUUAAAAUGUCUCAAAUUUUA